GACCUGCUCCCCGAUGGUGCUGGCAGCCAUACCUUUUACUCAGCUGGAAACCUGAGAAGGGCACACAGCGAAGGAGGAUAAAAGUCAGCUGGCCCCUCCAGGCCCACAGGAGUAAAGGAUCAUUCGUUUGACAGCCUCGUAACAGAGACUCUUAAUUAGUUCUCGGCUUUGACAGAAUGUUGCCCCACCCCCAAGCAACCAAGGAGAAGGUGGUGAGUCAGCAAUUUAAUAGUCUGUCUUGACCCUGGAGCUUUUAAUUUUUUUAAAUGUUUAUUUUUGAGAGAGAGAGAGAGAGAGAGAGCAGAAGUGGGGGAGGGCCAGAGAGACACAGAAUCCGAAGCAGGCUCCAGGCUCUGAGCUGUCAGCACAGAGCCCAACGUAGGGCUCGAACCCACAACUGAGCCGAAGUCAGACGCUUAACCGACUGAGCCACCCGGGCGCCCCUUGACCCGAAAGCUUUAACCUAGCUUGGUACAUAUCCAAACUGUGCCUGCCAACUCACCAAGGCAAGGAAACCGUACACACCCAAGUGAAGUCUCACACACCAGGAAUGAGCAUGUUUUCAAAGUCUGUUGAUGCAGCCAACACAGCCAUACUAAGAAGAAAAAGGGGAGUAGAGAACUAUUUCUUAUAAAAAUAAGUCCUACCAACCUGCCUUUCAAGCAUCAAACAAGACAGAACUGUUCACAAAGAAACCUUGCCAAAAGAAGGAAAUUUCAAAUAUUUGGAAUUAAACCAAAAUACUAAACCAAAGCGAUGAAACAGCUUGAAGUAGAAACGUUUGGAUUGAGCGUUAAUUGGAAACAAACUGGAGAUCCAUUAACAUCGUAGAAGUUUGAGAUCUUCAGCUCAAAUACCAGCUGUGGGAGGGAUUUCCCAAACCCCAAUUUAAAGCCUUCAAGAAAGAAAGGAGAGGAAAGAAAGAAAGAAAAGAAAAAGGAGCUUCCUGGUCACUCACUCUAUUUCACAUCACCAACCUCAUCAUAUUGUCCUAUUUCAUUUUUUCUACAGCAUGUAGUUGAAAUUAUUUUCUGUAGAGCGUCCUCAAGUGCAGGCAUCCUCUCUGUCUUAUUUUCCAUUUUGCCCCAGCUCCUUGGCAGGUACUCAGUACAUAUUUGUUGACGGAAUGACAAAAUGAAUGUUAGGCAUUGCUCAUUGGAGAUAUUUUCCUUCAACAUGGUAACACCGAAAAAAAAAAAUCUCUGUUUGGGAUUUGCCUCAAAAGCAUACCUGGACAGUGUUGAUAGCAUAGUGAUCAGUGGCACAGAAUGGCCCGGCAGAAUACCCGGCUGUGUCUCCUUCGAAACCCAGAAAAGCACCCACUAACUAUCUCUUGAGUGAACGUUUCAAAAUUUAGUUCAAGUUUGGGCUCACAGCUUUAAGAACACGUUAUUUUGAAACACUCACACAGUGGGGCCCAGAUGGUAGCAGAAGACUGAGAAUGAAAUAUGAGAUGCUUUUGAAGAUAAAGUCCACGCUUAAGGAAUACCUAUACUUACUAACCUCAAAAAAUGUUUGUCUUCUGUCUUCCAUGAAAACGAAGAUAUUGAAGUCUUUAUUCAACCACAUGCAUCACAUAAUUUGUUGUCUUGGCUGUUUUAUGCAACACACAGAAGGGAGUUUCAGAGAUGUUAGUUCUUGUUCAAACUCUGCCACUUACUAGCUUGAGUAAAUCACGAGUCCUACAUUCUUUAUCUGUUAAAAAUUAAAGAAGCAGUAAAACCCACCAACGCUCUUGUGCCGUCUCCCCCCCUCUCGGUGGCUAUUAGACUCCAGAGAUAUUACAUAUGUGAACGUGCUUCGUAAUAGUGUCAACUGUUAAGGGUUGUCAGGAUAUUACCUAUUUUUUUACAUUGAUGAUAGAAGAAAGUAAGCAUGUUAUUGAAGCCAGUGUCCCAUCUUGUCAGUUCAGAUGAAGGAAUGAACAGAAGUCCUAUCACCCACAGACACAGCUGGAAUGGCCAAGGAACCUAUAGGAAUGCAACCCCACUAGAUUAACAUAAAGAAUAAAGAUAUUUUUCAGAUUCUAGGUCUCUUGAGAUGGAAAGGACCUCUGGGGAACCAGAACACCUGCUAGCAUGGCCUCAUGGACCACUGAUCAAUGGCAUCCACCUUCUCAAAAGACCCUUGCCCCAACUUUUGCACUUAAAAAUCCUCACUUGUUUAGGAUUUUUGAGCAUUAGCUCUCUGUUCUCCUGGGUGGUGCUAAACCAAUAAAUCACUUGUCUUUCUUCACUGCAAAA